rnacentral:rRNA from 1 species
CAGCAGCCGCGGGAAGACGAACCGUGCGAACGUUAUUCGGAAUCACUGGGCUUAAAGCGCGUGUAGGCGGAUGGGAGCGUCGGCCUCUGAAAUCCCCCGGCUCAACCGGGGAAGUGGAGCCGAAACGACCCGUCUGGAGGGACGUAGGGGGACCUGGAACUUCCGGUGGAGCGGUGAAAUGCGUUGAGAUCGGAAGGAACGCCCGUGGCGAAAGCGAGGUCCUGGACGUCUGCUGACGCUGAGACGCGAAAGCCAGGGGAGCGAACGGGAUUAGAUACCCGCGUAGUCCCUGUCUCUUAUU